rnacentral:rRNA from 1 species
AUUGAACGCUGGCGGCAGGCUUAACACAUGCAAGUCGAGCGGAGAUGAGGUGCUUGCACCUUAUCUUAGCGGCGGACGGGUGAGUAAUGCUUAGGAAUCUGCCUAUUAGUGGGGGACAACAUUCCGAAAGGAAUGCUAAUACCGCAUACGCCCUACAGGGGAAAGCGGGGGAUCUUCGGACCUUGCGCUAAUAGAUGAGCCUAAGUCGGAUUAGCUAGUUGGUGGGGUAAAGGCCUACCAAGGCGACGAUCUGUAGCGGGUCUGAGAGGAUGAUCCGCCACACUGGGACUGAGACACGGCCCAGACUCCUACGGGAGGCAGCAGUGGGGAAUAUUGGACAAUGGGCGGAAGCCUGAUCCAGCCAUGCCGCGUGUGUGAAGAAGGCCUUUUGGUUGUAAAGCACUUUAAGCGAGGAGGAGGCUACCUGGAUUAAUACUCUAGGAUAGUGGGCGUUACUCGCAGAAUAAGCACCGGCUAACUCUGUGCCAGCAGCCGCCGUAAUAC